rnacentral:misc_RNA from 1 species
GAAUACAAUACCACCGCUAUUCAUCCUCUCUCACUGUGAUCACCUUCCUCUUCUUUUUCAAUCUUCACAUUCCAACCACCCACCUCUAAACAUCUUCACCUUAAUUUAAUAUUCUUUUCUCACUUCGUCUUGAUUUUAAUUAGGUUGUGUAAUCCCACUCGAUCAUGGACGUCGAUCCUCGCAGUUAUGAACAAGUUGCCAUCAAAGACAACGAAAUUCACAAUAUUGUUCUCUCAUAUCUGGUGCAUAAUUGUUAUAAAGAGACUGUGGAAUCCUUUGUAGCAUGUACAGGGAUGAAGCAGCCUGCAGAUUGUCUUGAGGACAUGGAAAAAAGAAAAAGAAUUUUUCACUACGCAUUAGAGGGGAAUGCACUUAAGGCCAUUGAACUAACAGAAGAGCUGGCACAUGGCUUGCUAGAAAAUAAUAAAGACUUGCAUUUUAAUCUUUUGAGCCUGCAUUUUAUUGAGCUUGUCUGCACUAGGAAGUGCAGCACAGAAGCAUUGGAAUUUGCUCAAUCCAAGUUGACCCCAUUUGGGAAAGUCCAGAAAUAUGUUGAAAAGCUUGAAGAUUUUAUGGCUCUGCUUGCUUACGAAGAACCAGAAAAAUCUCCAAUGUUUCAUCUGCUUAGCUUGGACUAUCGGCAGCAAGUUGUAGAUAGUUUGAACCGAGCUAUUCUUGCGCAUGCAAACCGCCCAAGCAUUGCCUGACCACUGUUGUCUGUUGUAUCAGCCUCUCAAUUGCUGCAUAGCUUGGGCGGUUUGCAUGCGCAAGAAUAG